rnacentral:rRNA from 1 species
UACGUAGGGUGCGAGCGUUAUCCGGAAUUACUGGGCGUAAAGAGCUCGUAGGUGGUUUGUCGCGUUGUCCGUGAAAACUCACAGCUCAACUGUGGGCGUGCGGGCGGAUACGGGCAGACUGGAGUACUGCAGGGGAGACUGGGAAUUCCUGGUGUAGCGGUGGGAAUGCGCAGAUAUCAGGAGGAACACCGGUGGCGAAGGCGGGUCUCUGGGCAGUAACUGACGUGGAGGAGCGAAAAGCGUGGGGAGCGAACAGG